AACAAACGCUGGCGGCGUGCCUAAUACAUGCAAGUCGAACGGGGAAAGUAGCAAUAUGAGUACUAGUGGCACACAGGUGAGUAACGCGUGGAUAAUCUGCCUUGAAGAGGGGGAUAACUAGUCGAAAGAUUAGCUAAUACCGCAUAAGACCACAAGAACUGAGGUUCAAGGGGUCAAAGGUUUUUCGCUUCAAGAUGAGUCCGCGUAAGAUUAGCUAGUUGGUGAGGUAAUGGCUCACCAAGGCAACGAUCUUUAACUGGUCUGAGAGGAUGAUCAGUCACACUGGAACUGAGACACGGUCCAGACUCCUACGGGAGGCAGCAGUAGGGAAUAUUGCACAAUGGAGGAAACUCUGAUGCAGCGACGCCGCGUGAGUGAUGAAGGCCUUCGGGUCGUAAAGCUCUGUCGCAGGGGAAUAACACAAUGAAUGUACCCUGUAAGAAAGGAUCGGCUAACUUCGUG
rnacentral:rRNA from 1 species